AAUUAAGUUAGCGAUAGAAAGAUCUAAGGAUACUAGCUCCUGGGCACCUAGGGUGCAAACUGACUUGUGGCAGCAUAAGCUGAUGCUGCACAGGGGACCCAAGCCAUGUUGCUACUUGUCACUUAAGGCAGGAAGCGCACAAAGGAAGUGAUGAAAGGUUAUUAGCCUGCAACAUUAUUUACAGCAUGAGAGCCUCUCCUACGGUUCUCAACCUUCAUUAGGCACUACUGUGAUCUAGUGAUGGUUGUAACCCAUUCUUUAAAGGCAAAGAUGUAAGAUUUACAGGGAAAAGCUUCGGGUUUUAUCAAUUCACUAUCAUCAAACACAUAUUGAGUUGGUUAAAAAAAAAAAAAACCCAGAACACAAAUGUGUAAUAUUUUUGCAUGAGAACCACUUCAACAAACAUAACAUGUGGCAACCAAUCAAUCUGGGUCACAAAAAGCCAAUCCGUAUAUUGUAAAGCCUUACACAGUAUUAGGUUCCAAAGUGUUGGCGCAGAUGAAAUGGCUGCAGAAAGAAGCUAAAGUACUUAUCUUUUCAAACAGUAAGGAGUAAAAGCCAUGUUAUCUAUCAUGCCUACAGCUUCACAAGACUAUUUAAGGGUAAGAAACAAAACAAUUACUCAAAAAGAUAUUGACAGGGUUCAAAUAAUGCACAAUAAAUCUUUCUCAGGAUCUAAGACACUUAAAAAUAUAAUCAAAUUUGUUGCUCUCUUCCUCCUCCAAAAAAAAAAAAAAUUCAAAGAAUACCAGGUAAGGUACCUCUGCAGAGUAAACUGUAACUGUAUAUCAUAUAAAUCCAAAUAUAUGUGAUCACUGUUCUGUCAUAAUUUGCUAUUUUAUAUACACCUCAUGAAACACUAUAUAUACGUUACACAAGUGUCAUUUACAGUUGAUUUGGGCAAACUCUGUAGUCUGGAAUACUCAUAGGGUUUUCUCAAUCUGAUUACUUGGAAAGGUAAGAUGUGUGCUAUGGCUUUCCCACAUGCAGACACUGACAUCUGAAGGGGAAAGCUUAAGACUGUGGAAUCUGCACAUUCGGUCUCUUUUCAAUCUGAGUUUAGAGAUGUUAAGUCAGGUGUGUAACACACUAAGGUUAAGUCUCCUACUGACAUUAUCAUGGAUUGGUUUGGAUUCUCUGUGGUUUGGUAAGGGUCAAGUCCUAGGUGAAGGUUUUCUAACCUUUACCCCAUGCCCUCAGCCAGUGUGGGUAUUCUGGUGUCUGGCGAGGGACAGGCGGUCAUUGAAGAGCUGCCCACAGACGUCACAUUUGAAGUACUUCUCAUCAGCUUGAUUGGCACCACCUGUGCUGGUGC
rnacentral:lncRNA from 1 species